AUCCCUUAAACUUACAAGUAGGGAAACAUGAUGACUUCGGAUGAUGCCUGAAUCAUCACUGCUUAUGUGACACAAAUUUUUGAGUGGGUAAAGGUUGCCUCUGGGGUGACCCGCCUGCUUUGCGGAAGCCUUGGAGUUGGUGAUCUGUCUG